rnacentral:rRNA from 1 species
UGCUUACACAUGCAAGUCGAGCGGUAAGGCCUUUCGGGGUACACGAGCGGCGAACGGGUGAGUAACACGUGGGUGAUCUGCCCUGCACUUCGGGAUAAGCCUGGGAAACUGGGUCUAAUACCGGAUAUGACCUCAGGUUGCAUGACUUGGGGUGGAAAGAUUUAUCGGUGCAGGAUGGGCCCGCGGCCUAUCAGCUUGUUGGUGGGGUAAUGGCCUACCAAGGCGACGACGGGUAGCCGACCUGAGAGGGUGACCGGCCACACUGGGACUGAGACACGGCCCAGACUCCUACGGGAGGCAGCAGUGGGGAAUAUUGCACAAUGGGCGAAAGCCUGAUGCAGCGACGCCGCGUGAGGGAUGACGGCCUUCGGGUUGUAAACCUCUUUCAGCAGGGACGAAGCGCAAGUGACGGUACCUGCAGAAGAAGCACCGGCUAACUACGUGCCAGCAGCCGCGGUAAUACGUAGGGUGCAAGCGUUGUCCGGAACUACUGGGCGUAAAGAGUUCGUAGGCGGUUUGUCGCGUCGUUUGCGAAAACCAGCAGCUCAACUGCUGGCUUGCAGGCGAUACGGGCAGACUUGAGUACUGCAGGGGAGACUGGAAUUCCUGGU